UACGAAGGGGGCUAGCGUUGUUCGGAAUUACUGGGCGUAAAGCGCGCGCAGGCGGUCUUCCAAGUCAGUGGUGAAAGCCCGGAGCUCAACUUCGGAAUUGCCAUUGAAACUGUGAGACUGGAGUACGAGAGAGGUGAGUGGAAUUCCCAGUGUAGAGGUGAAAUUCGUAGAUAUUGGGAAGAACACCGGUGGCGAAGGCGGCUCACUGGCUCGUAACUGACGCUCAGGCGCGACAGCGUGGGGAUCAAACAGG
rnacentral:rRNA from 1 species